rnacentral:sRNA from 1 species
GGCGAUUGCCCUCUUUGGGCGUUUCCUCCCUAGACUUCGGGCCGCUCCGCGAGGGCGGCUUUUUUUUGCCUUGG